rnacentral:rRNA from 1 species
UAAGGAAUAUUGGACAAUGGUCGCAAGACUGAUCCAGCCAUGCCGCGUGCAGGAAGACGGCCCUAUGGGUUGUAAACUGCUUUUGUACCAGAGAAAACCUAUCUACGUGUAGAUAGCUGAUAGUAUGGUAAGAAUAAGCAUCGGCUAACUUCGUGCCAACAGCCGCGGUAAGACGAAGGAUGCAAGCGUUAUCCGGAUUCAUUGGGUUUAAAGGGUGCGUAGGCGGGCUUGUAAGUCAGUGGUGAAAUCUCUCAGCUUAACUGAGAAACUGCCAUUGAUACUGCAGGCCUAGAGUAUAGAUGACGUUGGCGGAAUAUGACAUGUAGUGGUGAAAUACUUAGAUAUGUCAUAGAACACCGAUUGCGAAGGCAGCUAACGAGACUAUAACUGACGCUGAGGCACGAAAGUGCGGGGAUCAAACA